AGGUGGUUUGUCGCGUUGUUCGUGAAAACUCACAGCUUAACUGUGGGCGUGCGGGCGAUACGGGCAGACUAGAGUACUGCAGGGGAGACUGGAAUUCCUGGUGUAGCGGUGGAAUGCGCAGAUAUCAGGAGGAACACCGGUGGCGAAGGCGGGUCUCUGGGCAGUAACUGACGCUGAGGAGCGAAAGCGUGGGGAGCGAACAGGAUUAGAUACCCUGGUAGUCCACGCCGUAAACGGUGGGUACUAGGUGUGGGUUCCUUCCUUGGGAUCCGUGCCGUAGCUAACGCAUUAAGUACCCCGCCUGGGGAGUACGGCCGCAAGGCUAAAACUCAAAGGAAUUGACGGGGGCCCGCACAAGCGGCGGAGCAUGUGGAUUAAUUCGAUGCAACGCGAAGAACCUUACCUGGGUUUGACAUGCACAGGACGCCGGCAGAGAUGUCGGUUCCCUUGUGGCCUGUGUGCAGGUGGUGCAUGGCUGUCGUCAGCUCGUGUCGUGAGAUGAUGGGUUAAGUCCUCGCAACGAGCGCAACCCCUGUCUCAUAUGUCGCCAGCGGUAUAUGCCGGAGACUUGUAGGAGACUGCCGGUUCAAUUCGGAGGAAGGUGGGGAUGACGUCAAGUCAUCAUGCCCUUUAUGUCCAGGGCUUCACACAUGCUACAAUGGCCGGUACAAAGGGCUGCGAUGCCGUGAGGUGGAGCGAAUCCUUUCAAAGCCGGUCUCAGUUCGGAUCGGGGUCUGCAACUCGACCCCGUGAAGUCGGAGUCGCUAGU
rnacentral:rRNA from 1 species